UAGACGAGUGCAAUUUUUCUUGUUGCUGAAUUCGUUCAAUGCAAAAACAUAUCUUCGUUUGUUGAGUUAGAUGACCUUUUUUUCUACAAAAGAUUUAAACUCAGAUGGGGUUCUUGCUCGGAUACGAUAGUUGUUAUUCAAUACUAUAGUAAUGUAAAUAUUACCGAAUAAAAUGUAGCGAUGUUCGCUCGAA